CUUUUCUCCUGUAAAGUGCUUACUAUUAGGAUUCGGGAGGAAGUUACCCUUUAAGUUUGCAAACUGUUGAUUUUUUUCCGUGCUUGAAUAGGAGGUAGAAAAGAAGAACUGAAAAUAAUACAGAUGUUUUGUGAGGAUAGAGGUGUUGUACUGCUUGGAUAAAACAGUGUUGAUCUUUACUGCGCUUAGUUUCAGCAGAUGUAUGGAAUAGAGAAAGCAGAUGAAUAGAAUGGAAAAACCAGAUGGGAUGUGACCAAGCAUGUUCUUAAUUGAUCUCUGCAUUGAUUUCCAUGAGUAGCAGGCAUAGGUCAUCCAUGUGACAACACAAUCCUGUAAAUGGGACUAACAUCAGCAAAUUGUAUAUAUGACAAUCAAGCAGAACUGUCUAUCCUGUUGAGAUUUUCUACUUCAGCAAGGAUUGCAGAUUAGGCGGAUAUUCAACAUUCAUCCCUACUUUUCCAGACUUAAUACAGUGACUUUCUUGUUACCAAAAGAAAAGAGGAAGAAGAAUUGUUUUUACCAGUGGUUGUGGAAGAAGUCUUGAAGCGACUAACUAGAUUCCUUAUCUGCUAAGUAUCAGCUGUCUGACCAUGCACCAGGGAGAAAGGAACAUGAGGCAGACUAUAUGUUAAGAAUGGCGCCUCUGCCCCGACAAACAACAGGAAAUCAGUGAGAGGGAUCUUCAUGGAGAUUUUCCUCUCUGGCAAUGUUGGUGAUCAGUGUGCAUGAAAAGCUGUGAGUAAAAGGGCCUUCUAACUGCAACAGGAGUGGGAUGAAGAAAAAAGGAAUUUGUUCUUUAACACACACAGGCACUAAACAAUAGGAACAGUCUCCUUGUGACUGUUUGUCUCAAAUCUUCAUGACAUUUUUGCUCUUUUUAUGAAUGUUGCCUGCUCUCUUUUUUUUCCACAAAUCAGCCUGAAUGCACAGGUAAUCCAAUAAUACUCAAGUGUUGAACUUUUGAAUUGAAAGAGUGUUCUAAACCCUUGAGCUAGAUAUAAAACAUCCAAUAUCGUUUCUCUAUGUAGAGAGGGCACAGCAGUCUGUACCAUGCAUAUAGCUGAUUCCUUGCACCAGGACCAUUUAAUCACCAUUUCUUUUCCACAGAAGUUCAUUUUGUUGCAAUUAAAUACACUGUGUUUCCAAUACUAGAGGAAGUUCAGAGUUUUCAGUACUGAUAUCUCAUAGCUCUCCACAGAACAAGCACUGUGGAAAAAAUCAUUGCCUGCACUUUCUUGUAAGACUCCUAUUUUAACCCAUCCAGUCUACUGCUCUGCACUGUGAAAAUCCUUUGCCCUCUGCUCCCUCCAACCCUCACCCUACUGUCAUUUUUUAUACUUAGUACUGUUUACAUGUUUAAUGGCCAAAAAAAAAAAAAAAACCAACGUGAUUUUCUACAGCCCUAAUGGAAGAUGAAUGUGAAAUAUUUGUGACAGGCUCUUUUCAGCAAUGUUUAGGGGCUGUAAAAAGGACAUUACUAGUGAAGUAACCUAGGAUUUCAUUUCAGACAGAUUUAUCAGCAAACAGCCAGAGCUUACAUUAAUGAUCCUGAAGCAAUCUGGAAUAUAGAAUUAUGACUGCUAGGGCUAGAAGACCUGAAACAUUUUUUUCUAACAUUUCUAAUCAACUGAAUUAAUUCUUCAUACACUACUGUUAUGCUCUUUGUUCCCUGCAUGGUGAGUCCUUUGGCUAAUUGAAUUAGGUGUGAUACAUAUCUAACUCACAUCAGGACUACAGAUGAAUGAAUAAGAAGUGUGUAAGUGCCAUAGUCAGUGAAUUUUGCCAAUAUUCCUACUGUUGUCUGGACAAAGCCACUACUACAUGGCUUUGUGUAUGAUAACUUAAAUAUCUAUCAGCUGCCGAGCAAUCCUUCAUUUAACCUUUCACAUUAUUUUGAGUGACUACACCAGCUAAUAGUACAUUUCUUUUCCUUUAUCAUAAGUGACUUUAACCUGCUAAUCAGAUUCCACAUUUCCUUCCUGAAGGAGAAAGAAUUGACCUUUCAGUGUAAUACAAUUUUAUCAUUUUGCAUCCUUUGAUAGAACCAGAACACGGAGUAAUCUGUCUGUGAAGACAUGACUCACAUUCCAUGACUUGACUCUUCUUCUGAUGCUGCCAGAGAUCCUGGCACCUCACUUUGUAAGAAUAGGACAUAUGCAAUCACAAAGGAAUGAAAAGUAAUAAUCUCUUGCAAGCAGAAAUGAAGAACAUACUAUCUCUCUUAAUCAGGUAUGGAUUUCCUGUGUUCACAGACUUCUGAUCCCACAGGUACUCCUCCAGAGAUAUUUGUGUACUGUCACAAAAUAUAUUUUGAAACAUUUGAAAGAUGUAUUUCAUUCUGAAAAUUAUUUCUUUCAGUGAGGAAGUUAACAGAAAGUAUAAAUUUUCAUUAUAAGGUCAAUCCAUUUACUAUUCAAGAAUGGAUUUCUCUCUCUGUCUUUGUAGCUAAGUGAGCUUAACUUGGUUUCAACUCUCUUACUCUUAGGAAGUCUACCACUUUCUAAUGACUACCAUUAGAAGCCAUUAGAAAAAAAGCCUUGCCUCCAACACUAGGCAGGUUCAUUUCAUUCAAACUGGAUCCCUAAUCCCUUAGCUAAUCCUUCUGAUCUGGAACGUGUCUGUUUUAGAUGGGCUGAGGCAUCAGAGUCCAGUUUCUAUUGAUAACAGUGUAGUGAAAUCAUGAUCUUAACCUAAAUGAAUCACUGAGGCGAAGAAUGCCCCUAUGUUAAAUGAUUAAAAUAAUGUUAAAACUUUUUGUUAGGUCACAUUUUCCUCAUUGACACAUAAAUGCAGUGGUGUUUCUAUUCAGAACUUUCAAAAUGAAUUAUGUUUGGUUUAGAGAUCUGCAUUACACAUCUUCCCAUACUCCUCUCACUUAGAUACUUACUGCUUUAAUAGGGAAAGUAACUCAAUAUAUUUUUACUGCCCAUUUUUUAAAAUUAGUGUUGUGACAGGGAACUAUGUCAAUGCCUGAGUUUUAAUGACUCUUGAAUUAGUAUUAACUCCCUUCUAACUCCCUUCUUUUUUAUUUUAACCUAUUGAUGGAAACCAUUACACUACAAUAAAAGUUUACUGUGGGGACAACUUGUUCCUGUGGCAAUUUUCCUCUUUCCCUGUAGAAAAGUAGCUAUUUUAAAAAACAAACAUCCAAAAAUGAGCAGAAUGGCUCAGCAAGAGUUUUGCUUGGCGGCUGGGACUUGCUUCAGAGUUCCAUUGGUCCUUUGGGAAGUUUCUCAUCACAAGAUAACCAAUAGGAAUGCACGUAUUUUUUCCCAGGUAAGAAAACACAUCUAAGUCCAAGCUGUGAAAAAUCAAAUCAGUACUGAAGCGAAGCCCAUUGAUUUUCUUUCCCAAAUCAGAAAUGCAAGAAAGCUUGCUUCCAAGGGUAUAUACUCCAAGUGGUCUUCCAAGAAGUCUUCAGUCCUGAAAGCAGACAACAUUUACAGGAUUACUGAUAUCAGGAGAAGAGAGGAAGGAAUCAUCAAGUGUCAUUCUACUUUUCCUGACUGCUAGGCAGCUCUGCUUUGGACAGGCAGGCAUUACUUCUUCUUAGCAAUGUGAAAGACGGGCUUAUCUUGAAAAUCUGUCAAAAAUUUUUGGGAAAAAUCUGAAACUCUCCAACACCCACUGGAGUGAAAACUCAUCCAUGCCAAAAACCUUUCCACAGGCAGGCUUCAAUAAUCUGCCUAAAAGAUUGCACUUGAGCUUCCCUAAAGAGGGUGCUAGAAUGUGAUAUUGACAGUGAACUGGUUUGUCUCUUCAGAUUAUGCUCCAUUCUGAUGAGGAGCAGGGAGCGAGGCCCUGGUUGCACAUUCAGGAGUGGGAAUGAGCGGGGGGACAGAGAUGUAAGUGCUGAACACAUUCCUUAAGGAGGAGCUCCUAACUCUGAUUUUGUGCUCUUAACUCCACUGGUUCACCGGUUACCCAUGAGGUGAGUGUCCAACCCAUUGCUGCUGUGAACCAGAAGACCAGUCUGCACAGCCUGCUCAAACAACAGCAGUGCUCCAAGGGACUGCUUUGACCCCAUCAAUAUUACAUAUGCAUUCAACCCACCAGUUUUAUAUUCUUGUGGCAACAUUUUUUAUACUUUAAUAA